rnacentral:rRNA from 1 species
UACGGAGGGUGCGAGCGUUGUUCGGAAUUAUUGGGCGUAAAGGGCGUGCAGGCGGUCUGUUAAGUCUGAUGUGAAAGCCCCGGGCCUAACCCGGGAAGCGCAUUGGAAACUGGGAGACUUGAGUACGGGAGAGGAGAGUGGAAUUCCUGGUGUAGGAGUGAAAUCCGCAGAGAUCAGGAAGAACACCGGUGGCGAAGGCGGCUCUCUGGACCGAUACUGACGCUGAGACGCGAAAGCGUGGGGAGCAAACAGG